CUUGACGACCAUAGAGCGUUGGAACCACCUGAUCCCAUCCCGAACUCAGCAGUGAAACGAUGCAUCGCCG
rnacentral:rRNA from 1 species